AUACGAAGGGGGCUAGCGUUGUUCGGAAUUACUGGGCGUAAAGCGCAUGUAGGCGGACAUUUAAGUCAGGGGUGAAAGUCCCGGGGCUCAACCUCGGACUAAGCCUUUGAUACUGGGUGUCUAGAGUGUGGAAGAGGUAAGUGGAAUUCCGAGUGUAGAGGUGAAAUUCGUAGAUAUUCGGAGGAACACCAGUGGCGAAGGCGGCUUACUGGUCCAUUACUGACGCUGAGGUGACGAAAGCGUGGGGAGC
rnacentral:rRNA from 1 species